ensembl:lncRNA
CUUGGAUGGAAAAAGGAAUAUGGGCAUUUUCGCAUUUGAUGGAUAAUUUUGGUAAUUUUUUAUACUAUAGUGAUUUGUGUGAUAAAUUUAAUCUACAAUGCUCAAUUAGAGAAUAUAACAUAGUAAUGAAGGCCAUCCCAGUACCCUUGCAAACAAUGAUUCAGCAGUUUGUAUUGUACUCCAGAAAUAUACCAGAGUUGAGAUCACUUUGUAUUGAAGGUACAAAUUUAAAAAGUAAACAGUUUACAAAUAAGUUUAUCAGAAAUGUAUUAUCCAAACAGUACUUCCCCGGUCAAUUAAAAAGAAAGUAUGUUCUUCAAGAAUUUAGUGAAGAAGAGGCAAAGAAAAUAAGGAAACGUUAUUUUACUUAUCCAGUUCUUCCUAAAGCCAAAGAAUUAACAUUUAAAAUUCUAAAUGACAUUUACCCAUCUAAUAACUUCCUACAUGAAAGAUUUAAUUGGGAGAACAAUUCAUGUGGGUUCUGUGAAAAAGAUAUUGAAACUGUAGAUCAUAUGUUUUUCCAAUGUGAACUUCUGCAGGUUUUUUGGCAGGAAUUUCAAAACUGGCUUCAUUCCAAACAUAUAUCAAUACAGUCUUUGACUGUGAUCUCAAUUAAGGUUGGAGUAUUAUUAAAGGAUAAGAUCUUAGACUUUUUGAUAAAUAAUUUAAUUACUUUGUGUAAACACUAUAUUCACAGAUGUAAGUAUUUAAAGGUUAAACCCCACUUCAGUGGCUGGAAGAAUGAACUGAAGAUUUUUGCAAAGUCUCUUCACUACAUGAUGGACAGGAACGCCCAGAAACUCCUGUAUGCUUUGAACUUGUUUUUGUUGUUAGAAUAAGACCCUCAUCCUCCUUUUUCUAUUCCUGUUUUAUUUUGUUUUAUCUUAUUGUGUGAUAAUUGUUUGUUGUUGGGUUUUUUUGUUUUUUUUCUCACUCUCAUCUUUUUUCUUUCUUUUUGGCUGUAUCAACACGAAUAAUAUGUGUUCAGUUGUUGAAAUAGGCCGUAAAGGUUUGUAAUUGUAUUUGAUACCUUAAUAUUAAAAAAAAAAAAAAAAAAAAAAAAAAAAAAAAAUUUUUAGCACUUCCGUUUCUGAC